rnacentral:rRNA from 1 species
AGAGUUUGAUCAUGGCUGUUUACUAACGCUGGCGGCGUGCCUAACACAUGCAAGUCGAGCGAGACGGUUAUGAUUGAUCCUUCGGGUGACAGAUUAACUAGAAAGCGGCGGACGGGUGAGUAACGCGUGAGUAACCUGCCCCAUACACAGGGAUAGCCAUUGGAAACGAUGAUUAAUACCUGAUAACACAUUUUAGCCUCAUGGUUUAAAUGUCAAAGAUUUAUCGGUAUGGGAUGGACUCGCGUCUGAUUAGCUAGUUGGUAAGGUAACGGCUUACCAAGGCGACGAUCAGUAGCCGACCUGAGAGGGUGAUCGGCCACACUGGAACUGAGACACGGUCCAGACUCCUACGGGAGGCAGCAGUGGGGAAUAUUGCACAAUGGGCGCAAGCCUGAUGCAGCAACGCCGCGCGAGCGAAGAAGGCCUUCGGGUCGUAAAGCUCUUUUCUUAGGGAAGAAAAAUGACGGUACCUAAGGAAUAAGCACCGGCUAAAUACGUGCCAGCAGCCGCGGUAAUACGUAUGGUGCAAGCGUUAUCCGGAAUCACUGGGCGUAAAGGGUGCGUAGGUGGUUUUGCAAGUCAGAAGUGAAAGGCUACGGCUCAACCGUAGUAAGCUUUUGAAACUGCAAGACUAGAGUGCAGGAGAGGAAAGUGGAAUUCCUAGUGUAGAGGUGAAAUUCGUAGAUAUUAGGAGGAACACC